CCUACGGGAGGCAGCAGUAGGGAAUUUUCGUCAAUGGGCGCAAGCCUGAACGAGCGAUGCCGCGUGAGUGAAGAAGGCCUUCGGGUCGUAAAGCUCUGUUGCGGGGGAAAAAAGGCAGCAUCAGGAAAUGGGUGCUGACUGAUGGUGCCCCGCCAGAAAGUCACGGCUAACUACGUGCGAGCAGCCGCGGUAAUACGUAGGUGGCGAGCGUUAUCCGGAAGGAUUGGGCGUAAAGGAUGCGCAGGCGGUCCUGCAAGUCUGGAGUGAAACGCAUGAGCUCAACUCAUGCAUGGCUUUGGAAACUGGAGGACUGGAGAGCAGGAGAGGGCGGUGGAACUCCAUGUGUAGCGGUAAAAUGCGUAGAUAUAUGGAAGAACACCAGUGGCGAAGGCGGCCGCCUGGCCUGUUGCUGACGCUGAGGCACGAAAGCGUGGGGAGCAAAUAGGAUUAGAUACCCUUGUAGUC
rnacentral:rRNA from 1 species